GGUUAAGCGACUAAGCGUACACGGUGGAUGCCCUGGCAGUCAGAGGCGAUGAAGGACGUGCUAAUCUGCGAAAAGCGUCGGUAAGGUGAUAUGAACCGUUANAACCGGCGAUGUCCGAAUGGGGAAACCCAGUGUGAUUCGUCACACUAUCGUUAACUGAAUACAUAGGUUAACGAGGCGAACCGGGGGAACUGAAACAUCUAAGUACCCCGAGGAAAAGAAAUCAACCGAGAUUCCCCCAGUAGCGGCGAGCGAACGGGGAGCAGCCCAGAGUCUGAAUCAGCUUGUGUGUUAGUGGAACGGUCUGGAAAGUCCGACGGUACAGGGUGAUAGUCCCGUACACCAAAAUGCACAGGCUGUGAACUCGAAGAGUAGGGCGGGACACGUGGUAUCCUGUCUGAAUAUGGGGGGACCAUCCUCCAAGGCUAAAUACUCCUGACUGACCGAUAGUGAACCAGUACCGUGAGGGAAAGGCGAAAAGAACCCCGGCGAGGGGAGUGAAAAAGAACCUGAAACCGUGUACGUACAAGCAGUGGGAGCACCUUCGGGUGUGACUGCGUACCUUUUGUAUAAUGGGUCAGCGACUUAUAUUCUGUAGCAAGGUUAACCGUAUAGGGGAGCCGCAGGGAAACCGAGUCUUAACUGGGCGUUAAGUUGCAGGGUAUAGACCCGAAACCCGGUGAUCUAGCCAUGGGCAGGUUGAAGGUUGGGUAACACUAACUGGAGGACCGAACCGACUAAUGUUGAAAAAUUAGCGGAUGACUUGUGGCUGGGGGUGAAAGGCCAAUCAAACCGGGAGAUAGCUGGUUCUCCCCGAAAGCUAUUUAGGUAGCGCCUCGUGAACUCAUCUUCGGGGGUAGAGCACUGUUUCGGCUAGGGGGUCAUCCCGACUUACCAACCCGAUGCAAACUACGAAUACCGAAGAAUGUUAUCACGGGAGACACACGGCGGGUGCUAACGUCCGUCGUGAAGAGGGAAACAACCCAGACCGCCAGCUAAGGUCCCAAAGUCAUGGUUAAGUGGGAAACGAUGUGGGAAGGCACAGACAGCCAGGAUGUUGGCUUAGAAGCAGCCAUCAUUUAAAGAAAGCGUAAUAGCUCACUGGUCGAGUCGGCCUGCGCGGAAGAUGUAACGGGGCUAAACCAUGCACCGAAGCUGCGGCAGCGACACUAUGUGUUGUUGGGUAGGGGAGCGUUCUGUAAGCCUGCGAAGGUGUGCUGUGAGGCAUGCUGGAGGUAUCAGAAGUGCGAAUGCUGACAUAAGUAACGAUAAAGCGGGUGAAAAGCCCGCUCGCCGGAAGACCAAGGGUUCCUGUCCAACGUUAAUCGGGGCAGGGUGAGUCGACCCCUAAGGCGAGGCCGAAAGGCGUAGUCGAUGGGAAACAGGUUAAUAUUCCUGUACUUGGUGUUACUGCGAAGGGGGGACGGAGAAGGCUAUGUUAGCCGGGCGACGGUUGUCCCGGUUUAAGCAUGUAGGCUGAUUGUCCAGGCAAAUCCGGAUAAUCAAGGCUGAGGUGUGAUGACGAGGCACUACGGUGCUGAAGUAACAAAUGCCCUGCUUCCAGGAAAAGCCUCUAAGCAUCAGGUAACAUCAAAUCGUACCCCAAACCGACACAGGUGGUCAGGUAGAGAAUACCAAGGCGCUUGAGAGAACUCGGGUGAAGGAACUAGGCAAAAUGGUGCCGUAACUUCGGGAGAAGGCACGCUGGUGUGUAGGUGAAGUCCCUGCGGAUGGAGCUGAGACCAGUCGAAGAUACCAGCUGGCUGCAACUGUUUAUUAAAAACACAGCACUGUGCAAACACGAAAGUGGACGUAUACGGUGUGACGCCUGCCCGGUGCCGGAAGGUUAAUUGAUGGGGUUAUCCGUAAGGAGAAGCUCUUGAUCGAAGCCCCGGUAAACGGCGGCCGUAACUAUAACGGUCCUAAGGUAGCGAAAUUCCUUGUCGGGUAAGUUCCGACCUGCACGAAUGGCGUAAUGAUGGCCAGGCUGUCUCCACCCGAGACUCAGUGAAAUUGAACUCGCUGUGAAGAUGCAGUGUACCCGCGGCAAGACGGAAAGACCCCGUGAACCUUUACUAUAGCUUGACACUGAACAUUGAGCCUUGAUGUGUAGGAUAGGUGGGAGGCUUUGAAGCGUGGACGCCAGUCUGCGUGGAGCCAACCUUGAAAUACCACCCUUUAAUGUUUGAUGUUCUAACGUUGGCCCCUGACCGGGGUUGCGGACAGUGUCUGGUGGGUAGUUUGACUGGGGCGGUCUCCUCCCAAAGCGUAACGGAGGAGCACGAAGGUUAGCUAAUCCUGGUCGGACAUCAGGAGGUUAGUGCAAUGGCAUAAGCUAGCUUGACUGCGAGCGUGACGGCGCGAGCAGGUGCGAAAGCAGGUCAUAGUGAUCCGGUGGUUCUGAAUGGAAGGGCCAUCGCUCAACGGAUAAAAGGUACUCCGGGGAUAACAGGCUGAUACCGCCCAAGAGUUCAUAUCGACGGCGGUGUUUGGCACCUCGAUGUCGGCUCAUCACAUCCUGGGGCUGAAGUAGGUCCCAAGGGUAUGGCUGUUCGCCAUUUAAAGUGGUACGCGAGCUGGGUUUAGAACGUCGUGAGACAGUUCGGUCCCUAUCUGCCGUGGGCGCUGGAGAAUUGAGGGGGGCUGCUCCUAGUACGAGAGGACCGGAGUGGACGCAUCACUGGUGUUCGGGUUGUCAUGCCAAUGGCACUGCCCGGUAGCUAAAUGCGGAAGAGAUAAGUGCUGAAAGCAUCUAAGCACGAAACUUGCCCCGAGAUGAGUUCUCCCUGAGACUUUAAGUCUCCUGAAGGAACGUUANGACGAUGACGUUGAUAGGCCGGGUGUGUAAGCGCAGCGAUGCGUUGAGCUAACCGGUACUAAUGAACCGUGAGGCUUAACCUU
rnacentral:rRNA from 1 species